AGUGAGCGCUGGCGGUAGGCCUAACACAUGCAAGUCGAACGGCAGCACAGUAAGAGCUUGCUCUUACGGGUGGCGAGUGGCGGACGGGUGAGGAAUACAUCGGAAUCUACUUUUUCGUGGGGGAUAACGUAGGGAAACUUACGCUAAUACCGCAUACGACCUACGGGUGAAAGCAGGGGAUCUUCGGACCCUGCGCGAUUGAAUGAGCCGAUGUCGGAUUAGCUAGUUGGCGGGGUAAAGGCCCACCAAGGCGACGAUCCGUAGCUGGUCUGAGAGGAUGAUCAGCCACACUGGAACUGAGACACGGUCCAGACUCCUACGGGAGGCAGCAGUGGGGAAUAUUGGACAAUGGGCGCAAGCCUGAUCCAGCCAUACCGCGUGGGUGAAGAAGGCCUUCGGGUUGUAAAGCCCUUUUGUUGGGAAAGAAAAGCAGCAGGUUAAUACCCCGCUGUUCUGACGGUACCCAAAGAAUAAGCACCGGCUAACUUCGUG
rnacentral:rRNA from 1 species